AUGUGGCAAAGGGACUUUGCACAUGUGAUUGAGUUAAGGAACUUGAUAUGGGGAGAUUAUUGCAGAUUUUUUUCAGUGGAAUGCCAUGUCAUCACAAGGGUCCCAAUAAGAGAAUGGCGAGAGAGUCGGGGUGAGAAAGGAGACGAGACAGCAAAAUCAGAGGGUGUAGUGAUGAGCUUUGAGGUUGGAGGAGGGGGCCACCAGCUAACAAAGGCAGGUGGCCUUUAGAAGCUGCAAAAGGGAAAGAAAUAGCUUUUCCUCUAGAGCCUCAAGAAGGAACGAAGCUCUGCUGAUACUUUGAUUUUAGCCUCAACCUCUGGUCUUCAAAACUACAAGAGACUAAUGAGGAGGAGCUGAAUGUCUCCCAUCCUAAGACUGAGAUGGGGCCGAGCUGUUGUUCUAGAAGGAAAAAGGAUGUCUUGUCCUGGGUGAACCAGAACAGUGCUUCCAAAAUCAAGGAGCGUGGCCCAGAGAAUCCAGCCCGUGUUCUGUUGUUUCCGCUUCCUCAAUAAUGAGCACCGGCCUUCAGUGAGUUCCUUUUCCUUGCUGGGUUUCAUUUGUAAAAUGUUGACUAAUGGCUAAGGGAGUUUAUUCCUGCAAA